GCCUAAUACAUGCAAGUCGAGCGAAUGACGAGAAGCUUGCUUCUCUGAUUUAGGGGCGGAGGGGGGAGUAACACGUGGGCAACCUGCCCUACAGAUCGGGAUAACUCAAGGAAACCUGGCCUAAUACCGGAUAAUCCUUCGAAUCACAUGUUUUGAAGGUGAAAGGCGCUUCGGGGUCACUGUAGGAUGGGCCCGCGGUGCAUUAGCUAGUUGGAGGGAUAACGGCCUACCAAGGAAACGAUGCAUAGGCGACCUGAGAGGGUGAUCGCCCACAUUGGGACUGAGACACGGCCCAAACUCCUACGGGAGGNAGCAGUAGGGAAUCUUCCACAAUGGACGAAAGUCUGAUGGAGCAACGCCGCGUGAGUGAUGAAGGUUUUCGGAUCNUAAAACUCUGAUGUAAGGGAAGAAUAAGUACGUUAGGAAAUGAACGUACCUUGACGGNACCUUAUUAGAAAGCCACGCCUAACUACGUGCCANNAGCCGCG
rnacentral:rRNA from 1 species